rnacentral:rRNA from 1 species
UAGGGAAUCUUCGGCAAUGGGGGGAACCCUGACCGAGCAACGCCGCGUGUGUGAAGAAGGUUUUCGGAUCGUAAAGCUCUGUUGUUAAGGAAGAACGAGUGUGAGAAUGGAAAGUUCAUACUGUGACGGUACUUAACCAGAAAGGGACGGCUAACUACGUGCCAGCAGCCGCGGUAAUACGUAGGUCCCGAGCGUUGUCCGGAUUUAUUGGGCGUAAAGCGAGCGCAGGCGGUUAGAUAAGUCUGAAGUUAAAGGCAGUGGCUCAACCAUUGUAGGCUUUGGAAACUGUUUUACUUGAGUGCAGGAGGGGAGAGUAGAAUUCCAUGUGUAGCGGUGAAAAGCGUAGAUAUAUGCAGGAACACCGGUGGCGGAAGGAGCACUCUGGUAUGUAACUGACGCUGAGGCUCGAAAGAGUGGGGAGCGAACAGG